UCAUGCAGCAUGUCACAUGUACUGCCAAUGAAUUACUGAGUCUGCAAAUUAUUGCAUUUCCUGAUCUGUAUGAGUGGAGAAGCAGCAGAAACUGAAAGGGUGGACCCAUUCAGGGAAGCAGUACUGUGUGUAAGCAGUAAGGAUUGGUUGAUAUGAGGUGCUAUAAAUGACAACAAGCACUGGGAGGAGGUGCUGAUGAAGCCCAGUAAGGCAAAAAAUGAUGUAUGAAGCUGUUUAUGCAUAGCUCCUAAAUCCCUUCCCUUGUGACUAUAGAGUAUAGGUGUCUGUGUGGAUACAUUUCCAAGGGAAAGCAUUUCUUUUGCAUGGGAGAUUGAGUAGUAGAUCACUCAAAUUCCUUGUCACUCAACACAUGUACCUGCACAUCAGAGCUCAUGAUGCAGGUACAUCCAUUGCAUGGAAAGGAUGGGUCUUUGCAUAGUGCUACAAUCUUUCUUUCUGCCCCUGCUUCUUUUUCAAUGAUGGGAAAACCUCACUUUGAAGGAAAGAACACCCUUCAUAACACAUCCAGGAAAGAGAAUUGCAGUGCAUGUCACAGGCCUUGAGUCAUGUUGAGCUUGAGAGACUUACUCCACCAAAAGCUCUUCCUCUCCUCAGUCAGUGUCUCCUGGCUCCAAGUACAGUGCCAAGCCUGCAUCAGAUGUUGCUGCAUCUCAUCACAGACCUGCACCUGGUGUGAGGCAGAGUCAGCUCUGAACUGAAGGCACUGCAUCUAUUGCAGUGGCAACAUGCUCCUGACACCAGCACAACUGGAACUGGGGAGCAAACAUCAUUCCCUCUCCUCUGAGGACAAACUACACCAUACAUCAGGAUCUGGGGACACCAACCAUCAAGAGCUCUGACCAACCUCACCUGGGGCACCCUUCAGCCCAUGUGAUACCAAAAAGGCAAAAGACCUGAGCAAGGAGGAGUGGGGGCAAAAGAAGAAAGAGAAAAGUGGAGACGAGAGGGGAUGAUGAAGAUUUAAGGAAAGGCACUUCUUGAGGCUCACUGGUGCAGGCUGGGACUGACAAAUCUCCCCAGUAGUGGUGCCUAAAGGAAUCUGGAGAAUGGGCACCCAACAGCUGGCAGCAGCAGAACAAACAAAAACACGAGGCUUGUGGUCAGAGAUGAGUCAUCCUGAAAGAAGAAGAAACCUGAAAUAAUAAUAAAACAAAGAUACGCAUGUUUUCACUCUUUUUGUUUUGAAUUAAAUGCAUACAUUUUUCCCAUUUUCUUAUUCAGGUAAAUUUUGGGUCAAUAACUUCAGACUCAUGUCCUUGUUGCUUUUAUGUUUUAAUGGGGUGAAGACACCUAUGUGUCAUUGUUACAAGCCACAGAAGGCAAGGGUAACCCAAGCUCUUGUUAAUAGAUCCCUUGGAGUGAAUUGGAGUGAAAAAACCAUUCAGAGUGAAACACUAAAUGGUUGGCGUUUGUAAAUAUAUAUAGGUAGGGUUUAUUAUAGUACAAUUUGGUUGCAAAGAAAACCAGAUAUGUAGCGAUUUUGGUUGUUAUUGUUAUUAUCUAUAGUUAUAUAACAACAUGGAAGCAUUGCAAUAUGAAUGUUCAUCACCCAAGGACAUGCACAAAUGAAAAGAAAGAGAGAGAAAGGACAAGAGGGUACCUUGUAGGCCUGUAGUCCCAGGGGCAAGAUUUGGUUGCUCCACAGUCUUGGUCGAAGUGGUGGUUGCAGACCAGAUCCAUUGGGUGGGGGCAGAAGUCCCAAAGGAAUGGUGGGGAAAAAUCCCCAGGAAAAUCCGAGGAGGAGGAGGAGCCCUACAACCCAGCCUUUGUGCAAGGGAGGACAACUUAGCAUGACAAGAGGCACCAUCCAGUCUCCAAGAAUUGUCUCCUAACUCACUCAUAGCCCAUCAUUUACCCUUUGUCUUAUCAGAACAGAGAUUAGCCAUUACACACCCAAAAGCUCACCUCCUCCAUUUCAGCAAAGCAUCCUGGCUUCUCCACAAAGGGAAUGUUUUGAGUCAUUAUCCCUUAACAGUUCAGUCUUUCACAGUGGUGUGCUAUUCCAAUGCCACCUCUCUGAGAUCACUAAGACUGUAUGAAGCCAAUUGUGAAAAUAACAGUAGCAGAGGGUUAUCAGGUGCUUUGGAGCAUGAAGAGCAGUUUUAACCAGCAAAGAACAUGUCCAUCUACAACACCAAGGACUGGACAGGACUUUAGCAAGAGAGAGGGGCAUUGAGCCUUACUUCACGGGGAAACAGAGGUGACAGUCUUGUUUGUUGCCAUUUGAUUCAAUAAACUGUAUUAUUAAGAUAGUAGCAAACGUUAAUAGUUAGUAUUAGUUGACAUUAGUAGUAGUUAUGCUAAGGCUUAGUAGGCCACAUGUAACCUGCAGAUGAACUAUAUAGCAGAUAUUGCAAUGUAAGCAGUGUAGCUAGGAGAUAAUCUAGGAAUGUACCUUUUGGCAAAACUUAAAGGUCAGAGAGAUAAUCGUACCAAGUAGUGAAAGGAAAGUAAGAAAUUGUGAUGAUGAAGAAAUCGUGUAAUAAACAUAUAAAAACCCUGUAAUUUUUCUGUGGAAUGGGGCUCUGUCUUUGGACGCUAGUCCACAGGCUCCCGGGCCCUCAAUAAAGCACCGCAUAAACGAC